rnacentral:rRNA from 1 species
AGGGGGCUAGCGUUGUUCGGAUUUACUGGGCGUAAAGCGCACGUAGGCGGAUCUUUAAGUCAGAGGUGAAAUCCCAAGGCUCAACCUUGGAACUGCCUUUGAUACUGGAGAUCUUGAGUCCGGGAGAGGUGAGUGGAACUGCGAGUGUAGAGGUGAAAUUCGUAGAUAUUCGCAAGAACACCAGUGGCGAAGGCGGCUCACUGGCCCGGUACUGACGCUCAGGCGCGACAGCCUGGGGAGCAAACAGGAUUAGAUACCCUGGUAGUCCACGCCGUAAACGAUGGAUGCUAGCCGUUGGUAAGCAUGCUUAUCAGUGGCGCAGCUAACGCAUUAAGCAUCCCGCCUGGGGAGUACGGCCGCAAGGUUGAAACUCAAGGGAAUUGACGGGGGCCCGCACAAGCGGUGGAGCAUGUGGUUUAAU